GCCUGGUGCUGCCCAAGGGGACAUGGACCCCAAUGAAGAGAGUCCUGUGGCCUGGAGACAAGUCCCACAGUGGUUAAAGCGAGGAGAUGGUUAGCGUAGCUCAGCAUAAAGACUGGAAACAGCUAGCCUGGCUCUGUCCAAAGAGCUCCAAGGCA